rnacentral:rRNA from 1 species
CGGCGAGUGAAGAGGGAAAAGCUCAAAGUUGGAACCUGGCUGUCUUAGAUAGUCCGGAUUGUAAACUAAAGAGCGUGAAUCCAGGCAAGCCGGUUGAUCAAGUCCUUUGGAAUGAGGCGCCACUGAGGGUGAGAGCCCCGUAAAUCGACUGAGCAUUUGUCUUUUGUGUUUCGCGUUCAAAGAGUCAGGUUGUUUGGGAAUGCAGCCUAAAGCUGGUGGUAAAUCCCACCUAAAGCUAAAUACAGGCGAGAGACCGAUAGCGAACAAGUACCGUGAGGGAAAGAUGAAAAGUACUUUGAAAAGAGAGUUAAACAGUAUGUGAAAUUGCCAAGAGGGAAGCAUUUGGAGUUAGACUGACUUGGAGUUAAUCAGCUUGGUCUUUGGACUGGGUGUACUUGACUUCUAUGUCUGCCAAUAGCAGUUAGUCCUGGUGGAAAAAACUGAAGGGAAGGUAGUCCUUCGGGAUGUUUAUAGACCUUUGGAAAAUACACUGGGAUUGACUGAGGAAUGCAGUAGAUGCUAUUAAGGCUUCGUCUAGUAGGUGUUAGGUGAAGGUACUUGGUAUUUUCAGCUUGCUGAUGUGCUAGGUUACUUGAGCUUAAUUGCUUGCUAGAA